GAUUCCCUUUUUUCUUCCGCUUCACGAUUUCUCUCCGGUUUUCUCCUUCGUCUAAUCUCUCGCGGGGCGCAGAAUCAGGGCGGAGUUCUGGGCGCUCGGCGGAGCCUUUCCUCGGAUUUUCUCUCCGUGCUUCUUCCCGGCCGCGGCCGCAGUCGGCAUCGCAAGUGCUUGGCAAAUAGCAAGGCACUAUGAAAUUCCGCAAAGGAGGCAAGGUGGAGGUACUGCAGAAGGCGGAGGCACCUUUCGGUUCCUGGAGGCCUGCCGAGAUCCUUUCUGGCAAUGGGCACACCUAUCUUGUAAGCUAUGAUCCAUGUCUGCUUGAUGGUAGUCUGGCCAUUGAAAGGGUUCCAAGAAAGGUGAUAAGGCCUUCUCCCCCGUCCCCAGAUGGUCCGGUAUGCUGGGUCCCAGGCGACAUCCUUGAAGUCUUCGACAGCUAUUCAUGGAAGGUUGUGGAAGUCGUGAGAUUGCUUGGUCAUGAGUACUAUCUUGUCAGGCUCCUCGGAUCCUCCCUAGAAUUGAGGGUAGAUGCAUCCAAUCUUAGGACAAGGCAGCUUUGGCAAGAUGGCAAAUGGGUUGCUCUUCCAAAGGAUUCUGCAAGAUGUGCUGCUGGUUCACACAGGAGUCGGACAAAAGGUGGAAAUUCAGGGGGCAGUCAUCUUCUAUUAAAGAACAAGAAUGUGUUUGAAGACAAUAUGUCUCGAGGCAUGAAGAGGAAAACCUCUGCUGCAUCAGCUUUCCCUAUGCAGCGCAGUGAAGUUACUAAGAGAUUUCAGACUUCUCGCAGAGAUGGAAGACGCCAACAUCUUGGUCCUGUAGAUUCUCUUCAUUUGAUGGAUAAGGGCCGAAGUUGGAGGCUUGUAAAGCAUCCUUCGGUAGGUCUGUGUUGAUGGAGGAGUUUGUCACAUGGUUUACUUGGUGACCAAUGUGGCAAUUUCCAUCAAACUUUGGUUCGUAUCCAUUUUUUUUGUUUUAUAUCUUCCUUUUUUUAGCUUCUUUUAGGGCUCUACUAGCUUUUGCAAGGAUACUGGACAGGAAUUUGGCUUGGCAUUAAUGAACAAAUAAGUUAAUGGUAAUAUUCAACAUGCAGCAUGUUUGCAAAAAAGAAUGCUUAUGUCAGUACAGAGAACUACUACAGCAUUUAUUGGAUAUUCUGACCAUGUCCUUUCCUGAACAAGGAAAACAAAGGAGUAGUUAAGUGUGCAAUAAUCUGGAUAUGUUGCUCUGUUCGUAAAGGAAGGAAUUGGAUAUCAUAAUUGCACAUUGCGCUCUAUGUGAUUAAUCGCUAAAUUAAUAUAAAAAUUGUGUUGUUUAAGUUGAAAAGGUCAAUAAAUAUAGGUAUGGAUUAUAUGACGAUAAAAGUAGAUAGUAGUCAUAGCACAUGUGAUUUGUUAAAGUAGUUUUCAGAGAUUUAUCUUGGCGACAGUACUCUUCAAAUACUAGGUCUCGGAAGCUCAUCUAUUGAAGUUAAUAGCUGGUUUUUGCUUUGCAAGAGUUCAUGUCAGCUAAAUGAUUAUUUGGCGCAUUCUGGGGAAUGAGGGAGACUAUCCCUAGGUAGACUUAUUGGUUUUUGGCAUGUACAGUGAGCUACACCUGCAACUUACUUGAUGUGUGGAUAUUGAGAGGUAAGUUAGUAGGUUAGUAGGCAUAUUGUUUAUCCUCAGGCUCAGCAGUUCUACGGUAGGUUUGUUAAUUCUCUCAUACAUGAUAAAUAUUGCAAGUGUAAAGUAUUUCUCUGAAAAGUGCUGACUCAGAUAUGUUACUACAUGAUCUUCUUGAUAUCCUUAUAAGGAGUUAUGGAGACUACCUUUGUACUCCCUCCGUCCCAAAAUAAGUGUCUCAACUUUGUACUAGCUCUAGUACAAAUUUGUACUAAGCUCAAGAAACUUAUUUUGGGACGGAGGGAGUAUUUCAUAAAUGUAAAAGUACUUACCUGAAAAGUAAUGCUUAUUUUGGCCUUCUUACUGCUGUGUGGAUGAGGUUGGGUCUACGGAUGUACCUACAUGUCCCUUGUAGUUUCUCAGUAUAAAAUCCUAGUCUGUGUCCUACUGCCACUUUUGUAUUCAAAAACAUUGGGAUGUUCUUGUGACUUCUAUGUGUAAUGGCAACACUUGUUAAUCCUCCUACAGUCAUGUUGUCCAUAUUACAGAUAUUAUUUUUUUCGUCGCACUAUGUAAUUAUGUUUGUGCGUGGUGUUGUGACACUAAUGGUUCAGUCUAUGAUACGAAGCACACCAUUCAGUAUACCAGUCCCAGAGCAACUGGCACAGUUGUUUAUGUUUCACACAUGUCUGAACAUUUAAUGAGUUGGAUGAAUUUUUGUGAAAUAAAUCUGUAAUUUGUAGUAUGCUUGGCUAGUAACAAUUCAAAAUAUUUAAUGAACAUUUAAUGAGUUGGAUGAAUUUUUGUGAAAUGAAUCUGUAAUUUGCAGUAUGCUUGGCUAGUAUAAUGCAAAAUAUUCAAUAGAAACAUGUAUAUAUAUUCCAACCAUCACGAUAUGAAGCUUUUAAGAUAUCAAGGUUGUUACAUAUUGGAAAUGCAGUAUGCUGAGAAGGCUAUGUGCAAAAACUUUUCCACUCAUAUUUACAAACUCUCAUUUAUACGGCACAAAACAUUUCUUGAUGUAUAACUUCUGUAUGAAGCAGCAUGCAGAUAGCACCUUGUUGUUAGCCAGGAUUUUUUUCCUGACAGCAAUAUUUGAUUAUAACAAAAAAAUCUUUGAAGUUUGGGUCGUGGAGACUAUUUUCUGACUGUUUUUUGUAUGAAAGAAGUUGAUGUACUAGCCAACUAGGCCCGACAUGACUCACUACAGCAGUUCUUUUUUAGAUUGGUAAGACCUCAGUUUUUGUACGAAAAGACAAGCUGCAGAAUCUUUAUUUUGUAAUUGAUGACAAUGAGUUCAGAAAACAUAUUGCAGAAAGGAAAACUGGAGAGUGCUUGCUUCUGGUCUGUUGGCUAAAACCAAUCUAAACUAACCAAGAUUGACCUUUUUCAUUUUUAAGAACUUUGUAGUUUUUAUUUGCUCGCCUUGAUUAUAAGCCAUUUGGUAUGGAACAUUAGCUUAGAGGGACAGACCAGAUGAUCUCAAUCUGGUGCCAAAACGCUACUUGGCUGUUCUCGUUUACUGACUUGUAGUUUUCACCUACACCUAGGCGACAUCGUAAGUUAGGAGUCAAUAGAAUAUUUAUUUAAUACUUUCAUUUUCAUAGUGAAAGAAUUAUUUAUUCUGUCUACAAGACAUACUAAGGUCAUAAUGGUAUAAGGCAAGGUCUGGGCAAAUUUUAUGUACUCUAUCUGUAACAAAAAAUUGUUAGGACUGAAAUUUUUUUGAUGUUCUUUUUAAUAUGAUGAUAGUAACUUCUCUUUUUGAAUAAUGGUAUCCUUAUUGCUUUCCUUUACAACUUAAUUAUGCACACGAUGUUCACUGAGAAAACAAAACUAACAGAUGAUUGAGGUGCUGUGGUUCCCUUGGAAUUGUGCCAGCUAGAACUGUUUGGGGAUCAUCUAUAGAUAAAAGUGCUCUUGGAUGCAAUGCCAUAGUUGAUCUCAGGAGAUCUUGUCAGGGUAUUGACGUGCAAAGAAAAUGGGCACUUUCUGUAUGUUUUCAGCCGACAUGUGGAUAUAACAGGCUUGAUGCUGAUCCAUUGCAGCUUUAUUUUUACGGCACACUCUGCUGUGUUUUGGUAACCCAUUCACAGGCUUUCUAGCAAAGGUAUGUACUAUUGUUCAGGUGGUCUUAUUCUGAUGGCUCAACUGAUUGAGUCACAGCUCCGCUUUCUCAGGUCAGCCCAAAGGCUUGGAGUGAGCUAUUCAGUAUUUUGUUUUUUUAUUUAUUAAUCUUUGAUGGUGUUUAUACUAUUCUAUGAAUAGCUUCUGGAAUUGAGGUUUGAUAUUUUAAAAUGUACUUCGUCUGGAAACUAAUAUAAGAGCGUUUAGAUUACUGAAGUAGUGAUCUAAACGUUCUUAUAUUAGUUUACGGAGGGAGUACUGAGUAAUAAUAACAAGCCAGUUCUCAUGGCAGCUUUAAUCCUUUGUCAUUGGUCUGAGUACUAAACGUUCUUAUAUUAGUUUACGGAGGGAGUACUGAGUAAUAAUAACAAGCCAGUUCUCAUGGCAGCUUUAAUCCUUUGUCAUUGGUCUGAGUACCCUGAGUAAGAAAGAAAGCUUUUCCUGUCUAAUCCGUGAUCUGUCCCUUUUGGUGUGGAGCAUAUUCCUCCACUUGUUUCAUCAAUUGGAAUCCUGGUACAUGGCAUGAUUAUUUCUUUCCUAGAAACGAGUUGAAAUGAAAUGAGUAGUUAGAAUCACUAUUUCAGAUGAUCCAUCUCUGCUUUUCUUGGGGAUGCGUGUUUUGUAUCCUUGCGGCUGGAUCUAUUAUUCUGAUGCAUUAGCACAGCACCUGGAGCGGUGCUGUUCAUCAUGCAACGCUUCUUUUCAGUGGCUCAGCCAUCGGGGAUGCCAAUGACACAGAAAAAGCAGCUGCAUACAGAUCCAAGGAGACCCGCCAUGUGGCUGGGGAGCACUAUGAUCUGAAUUUUGUGAAGUCAGCCAUCAGGCAUCUAUCAGUGUACGGUGAGGUUGUUUCUACCACGGUGCUUAUCCAUCUGAUGGUUCUCAUACUUGGAUGCUAUAAUAUCCGAGUCGUCCACAAGUUGAGAUAUGGCUGUUGAGGUUCAUGACUGAACGCACAUCCACAGUUGCCCCUAAGCUUAAGCUGUAAUGUUGGACAUGGAGGAACAUUUCAGAUUUGGAAAAGCUGGCAUUGACACAGAGGGCUAGCCCUGGAUAACUUCAUAAAAGAGGCUAAAGCAUAGUAAUAACGAAAGAAGGAAGGAAUGAUUGACACUGAGGGUUAGUACUAAAUUCAUGAUGAGGACUUGCACGUGUCAGGAAAUCUGUGAAGAUACAUUGGUGAUUAGCAUUAUGUUGUGUUAUAUGUAUGUAUCCAUGCCCAAUGAAGAAAAGGGGAGAUCAGACACAGUAUGGUUUCUCUGGAUGGAGUGCAAAAGUCAUCAACUUAUCACACAAUUGAUGAUUCUUAUUUGCUAUUAUGAGGUUUCUGCAGCCUGCCUGCGGGUAAGAUGUGAAAUUGUUAAGUAAGAUCACUGGCAUACUUGUCUUUUCUAUUGAUUUGACAUCUGUCCUUUUUCACGCAUUUCACGUGAUUAAAUUCAAGCCUGUCCAUGAGAUUCUGAUUUCAGAUUGGCUCAUAGAUAGGAACAGGAAAAAAAACUCAUGGAAAGAAGAUAGAUGCUCUGGGUUGAUCCUUGUCCUACUCAUUUACUGCUGAGGCCCAAGGAGUAACUAUAAGACCCCUUUGAAAUUCAGGAUUCUGAAACAUAGGAACAGAAAACCUUGUAUCCUAAACGAAAGCACACAACUUUGUACAAAUAGAUCUUUAGAUGUUC